GCCCUGUCAGCUUCUGGACUUUUACCGUUUCGGAAAGCUCCCGGAAGGUAUAUGAAGACUGUUGGACACGGCUGGAACAGGAGUCAGGAAAUGACCGCCAUCCAGUCCAAAUAAAGUUGCCUGAUAGCAGAUUUUUAUGACUGAUCCCAGAAUUCAUCCAACUGCCAACCAGCAUUCGUCCUCGAGAGCUGUGGAGUGUGACAAUGGUGUUUGUGUCCUGUGAAUCAAACGCCAUCAUCACACUAAAUAGCUACAGGGUGGAAAAAACACGAAUCGGACCGCCCCUGAUUUUCUCAAAAUAGCUACCAUAAAAAAUAUUUAGCCUUGAUUAAUGAAUUAAUUUGAUAUAGAAUUAAAACGCUUUACAUAAUUUAGAUAAUUUUAUCAAAGUUGUUGAUUGAAAAUUUUACAAUGAAAGCAGAAAAUCGGGACCCCCUCGUGGAAUUUUGUGCUGUGAAUACAUACAGUAAUAAAUAAAAUGCACCCAAGAUUUUGUGACAUCA